CCUACGGGCGGCAGCAGUGAGGAAUAUUGGUCAAUGGACGAGAGUCUGAACCAGCCAAGUCGCGUGAAGGAUGACUGCCCUAUGGGUUGUAAACUUCUUUUAUAUGGGAAUAAACGGUUCCACGGGUGGCUUUUUGUAUGUACCAUAUGAAUAAGGAUCGGCUAACUCCGUGCCAGCAGCCGCGGUAAUACGGAGGAUCCGAGCGUUAUCCGGAUUUAUUGGGUUUAAAGGGUGCGUAGGUGGUUGGUUAAGUCAGUGGUGAAAGUUUGCGGCUCAACCGUAAAAUUGCAGUUGAAACUGGCAGUCUUGAGUACAGUAGAGGUGGGCGGAAUUCGUGGUGUAGCGGUGAAAUGCUUAGAUAUCACGAAGAACUCCGAUUGCGAAGGCAGCUCACUGGACUGCAACUGACACUGAGGCUCGAAAGUGUGGGUAUCAAACAGGAUUAGAUACCCCGGUAGUC
rnacentral:rRNA from 1 species